GUUAUAUGGUCAAGUGACUAAGCGUACACGGUGGAUGCCUUGGCAGUCAGAGGCGAUGAAGGACGUGGUAAUCUGCGAAAAGUCUUGGGGAGCCGAUAAACAGGCCCUGAUCCAGGAAUGUCCGAAUGGGGAAACCCACUCACACAAGUGAGUAUCCUUUACCUGAAUACAUAGGGUUUAGGAGGCGAACCCGGGGAACUGAAACAUCUAAGUACCCGGAGGAAAAGAAAUCAAUUGAGAUUCCCCUAGUAGCGGCGAGCGAACGGGGAUUAGCCCUUAAGCAAUUUACGGCGUUAGUGGAAGGCUCUGGAAAGUGCCGCCAUAGUGGGUGAUAGCCCCGUACACGAAAACCCGUUUAGUGUGAAAUCGAGUAGGUCGGGACACGAGAAAUCUUGACUGAACCGUCUUCGGACAAGGGGGGACCAUCCUCCAAGGCUAAAUACUCCUGACUGACCGAUAGUGAACCAGUACCGUGAGGGAAAGGCGAAAAGAACCCCGUUGAGGGGAGUGAAAUAGAUCCUGAAACCGUGUACGUACAAGCAGUGGGAGCAGAAACUCUCUUUUAAGAGAAUGUUCUGUGACUGCGUACCUUUUGUAUAAUGGGUCAGCGACUUAUUUUCUGUGGCAAGGUUAACCGAAUAGGGAAGCCGUAGCGAAAGCGAGUCUUAAUAGGGCGUAAAGUCUUUAACGAGACAAAGAGUCGCAGUGAAUAGACCCGAAACCGGGCGAUCUAUCCAUGAGCAGGUUGAAGAUCAGGUAACACUGAUUGGAGGACCGAACCCACUGUCGUUGAAAAGCCAGGGGAUGACUUGUGGAUAGGAGUGAAAGGCUAAUCAAGCCCGGAGAUAGCUGGUUCUCCUCGAAAGCUAUUUAGGUAGCGCCUCGUGUCUCACCAUUGGGGGUAGAGCACUGUUUGGGCUAGGGGGUCAUCCUGACUUACCAACCCCAUGCAAACUCCGAAUACCAAUGAGUGCAAUCACGGGAGACACACGGCGGGUGCUAACGUCCGUCGUGGAAAGGGAAACAACCCAGACCGUCAGCUAAGGUCCCAAAGUAAUAGUUAAGUGGGAAACGAUGUGAGAAGGCCCAGACAGCCAGGAGGUUGGCUUAGAAGCAGCCACCCUUUAAAGAAAGCGUAAUAGCUCACUGGUCGAGUCGGCUCGCGCGGAAGAUGUAACGGGGCUCAAACUAUUCACCGAAGCUACGGGUUCAACACUUUGUGUUGAGCGGUAGAGGAGCGUUCUGUAAGCCGUUGAAGGUCAACCGGGAGGUGGGCUGGAGGUAUCAGAAGUGCGAAUGCUGACAUGAGUAACGAUAAAGGGAGUGAGAUCCUCCCUCGCCGGAAGACCAAGGGUUCCUGCGCAACGCUAAUCGGCGCAGGGUGAGUCGGCCCCUAAGGUGAGGUCGAAAGACGUAAUCGAUGGGAAACAGGUUAAUAUUCCUGUACCCCUUUUGACUGCGAUGGAGUGACGGAGAAGGCUAGGCCAGCCCGGUGAUGGUUAUCCGGGUUUAAGGUGGUAGGCAAGGGAAUCAGGUAAAUCCGGUUCCCUCUUUCAGAGAGAAUGCCGAGAACUGAUGACGAACUGACUACGGUCAGGAAGUGGUUGAUGCCAUGCUUCCAGGAAAAACUUCUAAGCUUCAGGUCAAAAGGGACCGUACCCGAAACCGACACAGGUGGUCAGGUAGAGAAUACCAAGGCGCUUGAGAGAACUUGGGUGAAGGAACUAGGCAAAAUGGCACCGUAACUUCGGGAGAAGGUGCGCCGCUAUUGGUGAUCGGACAGCUCUUUAUGGGCUAAUGCUCCGUAAGCUGAUGGCGGUCGAAGAUACCAGGUGGCUGCGACUGUUUAUUAAAAACACAGCACUGUGCUAACACGUAAGUGGACGUAUACGGUGUGACGCCUGCCCGGUGCCGGAAGGUUAAUUGAUGGGGUUAUCUUCGGAAAAGCUCUUGAUCGAAGCCCCGGUAAACGGCGGCCGUAACUAUAACGGUCCUAAGGUAGCGAAAUUCCUUGUCGGGUAAGUUCCGACCUGCACGAAUGGCGUAACGAUGGCCACGCUGUCUCCACCCAAGACUCAGUGAAAUUGAAAUCGCUGUUAAGAUGCAGUGUAUCCGCGGCUAGACGGAAAGACCCCGUGAACCUUUACUACAGCUUCACAGUGGAUCUUGAUGUUGCUUGUGUAGGAUAGGUGGGAGGCUUUGAAGUGUGAACGCCAGUUUGCAUGGAGCCAACCUUGAAAUACCACCCUGGCAAUAUUGAGGUUCUAACUCAGGUCCCUGAUCGGGAUCGAGGACAUUGUGUGGUGGGUAGUUUGACUGGGGCGGUCUCCUCCCAAAGAGUAACGGAGGAGCACGAAGGUUGGCUAAGCACGGUCGGACAUCGUGCGGUUAGUGUAAUGGUACAAGCCAGCUUGACUGCGAGACGUACAUGUCGAGCAGGUACGAAAGUAGGUCAUAGUGAUCCGGUGGUUCUGAAUGGAAGGGCCAUCGCUCAACGGAUAAAAGGUACUCCGGGGAUAACAGGCUGAUACCGCCCAAGAGUUCACAUCGACGGCGGUGUUUGGCACCUCGAUGUCGGCUCAUCACAUCCUGGGGCUGAAGCCGGUCCCAAGGGUAUGGCUGUUCGCCAUUUAAAGUGGUACGCGAGCUGGGUUUAGAACGUCGUGAGACAGUUCGGUCCCUAUCUGCCGUGGACGUUGGAAGUUUGAGGAGAGCUGCUCCUAGUACGAGAGGACCGGAGUGGACGAACCACUGGUGUUCGGGUUGUGUCGCCAGACGCAUUGCCCGGUAGCUACGUUCGGACGGGAUAACCGCUGAAAGCAUCUAAGCGGGAAGCCCCCUUCAAGAUGAGACUUCCCUGAGCCCUGAGGCUCCAUAAGAGACGUUGAAGACUACGACGUUGAUAGGCUGGGUGUGUAAGCGUUGUGAGGCGUUGAGCUAACCAGUACUAAUGACUCGAGAGGCUUGACCAUAUAACGCCAAAGCG
rnacentral:rRNA from 1 species